AUGAGUUGGAAAGCAACCUCACUCUUAGGUAUGAACAAACUCUCUAAGCUUAAUCAGUUUUACAAACAAAGAAGUAAGAAGGGAUGGGCUAUUGCUGGUGACCGUGAUACUAAGUUUUUUCAUCAGGUUGUGAUCAAGAGAAGGAAAAGGAACACUAUUUGUUCUAUUAAGGAUGAAAGUGAUGUGCUUCAUUUCAAACCAAAUGCGGUCACUAAUACUUUUGUCAACUAUUUAAGUAACACUGGCAUGCCUUUUCUCACUACUUAGUUGCCUAAUAACUCUUUGGAUCCUACUUAUUCCAUUCCAGAUAAACAUGAGGUCUUACAGAUUCUUAAGGAGAUGAAGUUGAAUGCUUCUCCGGGUCCGGAUGGAUUUAAUGUUGAAUUCUACUUGGCGGCUUGGGAUUGGAUAGGUGAUGAGGUUGCACAACUUGUGAUUAAAUUUUAUGAAACUGGUAUUUUACCUCCUCAUAUCAAUGACACCAAUAUUGCUCUCAUUCCGAAGAAGUUAGCUCCUCAAGUUCCUAUGGAUUACCGUCCCAUUAGCCUUUGUAAUGUCGUUUACAAAAUCAUUGCGAAAUCUUUAGCUAAUAGGAUUAAGCCUCACCUUCCAGACUACAUUGAUCCUGCUCAACAAGCCUUUACAGAGGGGAGAAGAAUUAGUGAUAAUGUUAUUAUUGCUCAAGAAAUUACUCACUCUUUCUCUCUUAAAUCUUGGAAACAUCAUGCUUGCAUGCUUAAAAUAGACCUUGCUAAAGCUUUUGAUCGAUUAGAAUGA
rnacentral:rRNA from 1 species